GUGGGUAUAGCUCAGUGGAAAGGCACGUUCUUAGCAUGCAUGAGGUGCUGGGUUCAAUCCCCAGUACCUCCA
rnacentral:tRNA from 1 species